AAAUAAAAAACUCUCAAAGGAGGACACCAUUACUGACAGAUUAAAUCCAAAGCUACAAUGGAUGCUGCUAAUCGUAGACCUUCCGUUGACGAGUUAAAUGCUAUGGCGGACCGAAUCAAUAUGGUAGCAGAGAAAUUUGAUACAUGCGAGCUUGCAAUAGCUGAGCACGUAAUUUAUCGCGACCCACAGCUUGUUACAAUGUUCAAUCGUUGUCGAAGUCAGAACGAUAUGGUCGAGUUUAUUAGAAGGCGUGCAGUUAUAGCUUCCCAUACUGUUAGUGCUUUUGCAAAUUGCUUGGAAGGUACUUGCACAAAAAGUUACUGCUCAGAGUCCAAAUUUGCUAGAAAACGCAAAGGGUGAGAGCAGCGUGACGAGUAAAAUGCUGCUGGUUCUGCUAUCAUCAACUACCUACUGCCCGAGUGUCUUCUGCCGACUGUCUGUCUUUACAUAUUUAUUAUGAACCAGUAUUUUUAUAAUUAUUGCUGUAAGCUUAUUUUAUCCUAUGGGACUGGGUUUUUCUAGGACAUUACUUUAAAACCAAGGUUUUAUCCUAGGAUUUCUUAUCUUCAUGUUGUCAAGUGCUGACAUCCUUGGAUUUUACGUUAAGACUAGUCCUCUUCAUUCUGUCAGGAUUUAUCAGUUGUUCUUGGUUGAUAUCAAUCUUGUACUUGUUAUAUGAAA